AUCGGACGCCGGGCCCCCACAAGGAAGACGAUCGAGAGACCGUCAAACCUCGCCGACGAAAAUACCGGCCCCGACUCGGCACGGCGAGUCGCGACCACUGCGGCGAGGAAAAGUCCGGCCGAACAGACCAGCCGCCGAAAGCGCGUCCGACACGAGUCCUCCGACGCGUCUCGUUCGAACUUACCCACGGUACUUCG
rnacentral:rRNA from 1 species